UACGAAGGGGGCUAGCGUUGCUCGGAAUUACUGGGCGUAAAGGGAGCGUAGGCGGACUGUUAAGUUAGAGGUGAAAUCCCCGGGCUCAACCCGGGAACUGCGUCCGAUACUGGAAGGCUUGAAUCCGGGAGAGGGAUGCGGAAUUCCAGGUGUAGCGGUGAAAUGCGUAGAUAUCUGGAGGAACACCGGUGGCGAAGGCGGCAUCCUGGACCGGCAUUGACGCUGAGGCGCGAAAGCCAGGGGAGCAAACGGG
rnacentral:rRNA from 1 species